GAAAUGUCGGUGUAUUCCUACAGGAAACAGGAGCCUCCAGAACAACAGGGAAAUUGCUAAUCAUACUUCAUCUAAGUGAAGUCUAGCUGUAAAUUACGACUAACCAACACGAUGGGACCCAUG